rnacentral:lncRNA from 1 species
CCCAAGCAGAAAUAAAAGCCAUGACUUGCCUGGUCCUUCUUGCCACAUGACCCGGAGCUGGCCGCAGUGUUGAUGUGGACUACCUUUGUGACACCCAGAAGUUUCAUCCCUGCUAUCUUAAGGAUCUGAGUAGCUGGAAACUCCACUGACCAUCGUUUCUGCAGGUGGAGUCUUGGAAACAUCAGGAUCCUUCGAGCUGCUGUGGGACUCUGCCAGCGAGGUCCCACCAUAACCGAUCCAGGCCAGCACCAUGCCCGAGUUAGGUAAGCCACUUUCCUCAGGAAGUUGUCCUGCCUCGGUGCUCCAUCA